ACAAUUCAUUAGGUCUGUAUAGAUAUUUUUCAGUGCAGCUUAUUCUACAUUAUAGUGAACAACUACCUGCCUACUUGUUUAUAAAUUUCCCGAAGUUUUAUUUUUUUAACUUUUUACUGUUUUUCAUAUUAUUAAACUAUUUGAAUUAACACGAAGUUGAAGAAUCCAUUGAUCGUAUAAGCCUGUGUAAUUUUCGCUUACCUCGAAUACCUCCUAACUAUCUUGGUUAAUUGGUUUUCACGAUGGCGAACAUGGCAAUCAUAAUCAUACUAACAAUCAUAGUUUUAAUUAAUACUGCUCAAAGUAUAAAUUUCUUUACGAAUACUAAAACUGAUUGUUUUGGGAGUAAAGCUGAUAACUAUGUUGAGAGUCCAUAUGAUAAACAAAUUAAAGAUACGUUGCUUAAAUUGGUUUUGGCUGCUGUUGACAAAGGCAAUCAGAUUGAUGCUGCUCAACUUGAGUCUCAACAUACUGGUAAAUUGGUUGGGACUGCUGCUGACGAUACAUGGACCGCAACUACAUCUUACAUCGGUGAUUAAGGAGCAGUGUUAGACCAGAUAAAUAGUUUUUCUUCUAGAUACUUUGUUAAAAGAUAUAAAGAUAAUAGACCAAAAGUCUAUUUAGAUAAAGAUAAAAAUAAGCUCAACCAAAAAUAUAUAUUUGAUAGAUAAAAUAUGACCAUAAUUUACCUACAUAAAAAGCAGAUACAUGUUUAAAAAAAUAAUGAUUUAAAAUUAAAAUUUCAUUAUAUCAAAAAAAUUGUAUCAGGCUUUUAAGUUAUCAUGUAAUUAUGUAAACAACAUUUUGUGUGUUUUGAAGGUAUUUUAAAUGUGUCAAUUUUUAAGUUUUGCAUCUAUAAUUUACAUUAUUAUUUUUUUUAUCGGUUUUGAUUUCAAAAAAAACAAGUACCUACCCACAUUUUUCCGUAAUCAAUGGAUUUUUUUCAACAAAACGACGUUAGGAUUUGAAUUUAUAAUUAUUAAUUGAUUUAUUACAAUAAGAUUUAACUAAUAUUGGGAAAAAUUUUAAAUUAAGAAUAAAGUGAAAAUUGUGAUUGUA